GAAAUGCGAUAAUUAAUGUGAAUUUCAGAAUUCAGUGAAUCAUCGAGUCUUUGAACGCACAUUGCGCCCCCUGGUAUUCCGGGGGGCAUGCCUGUCCGAGCGUCAUUGCUGCCCUCAAGCACGGCUUGUGUGUUGGGCUUCCGUCCCUGGCAACGGGGACGGGCCCAAAAGGCAGUGGCGGCACCAUGUCUGGUCCUCGAGCGUAUGGGGCCUUGUCACCCGCUCCCGUAGGUCCAGCUGGCAGCUAGCCUCGCAACCAAUCUUUUUAACCAGGUUGACCUCGGAUCAGGUAGGGAUACCCGCUGAACUUAAGC
rnacentral:misc_RNA from 1 species